rnacentral:rRNA from 1 species
CCUACGGGUGGCUGCAGUGGGGAAUAUUGCACAAUGGGCGCAAGCCUGAUGCAGCCAUGCCGCGUGUGUGAAGAAGGCCUUCGGGUUGUAAAGCACUUUCAGCGGGGAGGAAGGCGUUAAGGUUAAUAACCUUGUCGAUUGACGUUACCCGCAGAAGAAGCACCGGCUAACUCCGUGCCAGCAGCCGCGGUAAUACGGAGGGUGCAAGCGUUAAUCGGAAUUACUGGGCGUAAAGCGCACGCAGGCGGUCUGUCAAGUCGGAUGUGAAAUCCCCGGGCUCAACCUGGGAACUGCAUUCGAAACUGGUAGGCUAGAGUCUUGUAGAGGGGGGUAGAAUUCCAGGUGUAGCGGUGAAAUGCGUAGAGAUCUGGAGGAAUACCGGUGGCGAAGGCGGCCCCCUGGACAAAGACUGACGCUCAGGUGCGAAAGCGUGGGGAGCAAACAGGAUUAGAUACCCUAGUAGUC